UUUUUUUUCUUUUUCUUGUAGAGAAGAGAGAGAGGGAAAGUGGGACAGGGGAGAGGGUAGGAAGAGAGGGAGAGAAAGAGAGAAUCUUAAGCAGACUUCAUGCUAGACGUGGGGCUUGAUCUCACAACCCUAAUUAUAUGACCAGAGUGAAAUCAAGAGUCAGGCACUUAAUCUACAGCCACUUAGAUACCCCUCAAGUAAUCUUUUUUAAAUGUAGUUUCUAAGCCUAUUCAAUUCCAUUCUUCUGAUCAUUAAACUCCCAGUGACAGUAAAUGAGUAGUAAAAAUGGGCAGUGCAGAAUUUAAAUAAGAAAAUUUAUUUCUUCAAAAGCGGCUUGUGAAUUCUUUAUGAAAUUGCCUAUAUUUAUUAUAACGUAGAGGGAGAGAUUUUAAUACAUUAUUUCAUUUGUUCUCAAAUGGCCCCUAGUAUAUUGAGUGUUUAAAUGAUAUACCUAAGAUAUAUUUUAUAUAUUACUUCUCCACUUUUAUAAAUUGACUCUCACAAUUAUUUUGUGUAUGUCUUAAAAUUAUGUCAUCUCAAAAGCUUUUUGACAGUACAAAUGGAAUAUAAGAUAUAUGAUGUAUUAUAAGCUAAAGAGGUAUUUUCAGUUGUUCUUUGGUAUUUUUUAUUAUCUGAUAGUUUUAAUUAUUUUGACCAAAGGACCUUAUUUUAUAAAUGAAAUAAUUAUGUUCACAAUGAAUUAACCCAUUCUAGUGAAAAUUAAUCCCAAGUGAAGUCAUUAUAUCCAUUGUAAUUGACUUGGUUAUGUGAAUUUGCAUUCAAUCAUAUUUAUAUAUAUAUUACUAAUAAAAUAUCAUUUACAGAUUAUAAUCCAUGAUGCUUUAAGCAUAUUUAAAUACAAUGACAAGGUAUUCCAAUUGACUUUUGUAAAAGGUAAUUGGGGACACCUGGGUGGCUCAGUGGUUGAGUGUCUGUCUUUGGCUCAGGGUGUGAUCCCGGGAUUUAGGAUUGGGUCCAGCAUUGGGCUCCUUGUGGGGAGCCUGCUUCUUCCUCGGCCUGUGUCUCUGCCUCUGUCUCUCUGUGUUUCGCAUGAAUAAAUAAAUAAAAUCUUUUAAAAAAGGAAACGGUAGUGGUAUUCAGGAUGACUUUAAUUCACCUAUGGAUUUAUAUUUACCUUUGGUGAUUUUUUAAAUAAAAAUAUAUUAUGAUAAAAAUGAAGUAUACUAACAUUCUAGGUAUUGAAUGUUUAUGUGUAAUAUUUUAUAUAAUGUGUCUAUGUUCAAUAAUAAAGAGGGAAUAAUAAACUGAGAAUACAUUUUAUUUCUGAAAGGUGUUUUCUACCACAGUUGUUUAAAAUAAUAAUGAAAAAAGGAACCCAAAGACACAGGAGUGUACUAGAAUUAUUUUUAUUUCCCAUAAAACUAGCAUUAUUUAACUGUGAUCAGGGAAAGUAAACCCCAGACUUGAAAUAUGUUGUCUUUACUAAAGCUCUUCCACAUUUUAGUUUGGCCUAGUUUAACUAUUUAGCUUUUGGUAAAUAAAAACACCAAUUCAUUUUUUAUAUUCUAAAGAAAUAAAAUUUACUACUUACUACCAUAGAAGCAAUAAAAAAAGACAUUUAACAUGUAGUAUACAAGCCAUAGACACAUUCCAUACGUGUAGUAUAGUUAAGAAUACUUUUCAUUCAUCACACACUGAAAUGUUAGAAGGUGAAGUCUUAAACUCCAAGUGUAGAUUAUUUCCAAGUGUCUUCUAAAAUUUAUCUCCCAGAUCUUAAUCACUUACCUAGAAAUUGAUUUUGUAAGUCACACAGUGAUGAGAGCUAUUAUAUCAACCAAGCAGAAAAGAAAAAUUUAAAAAAAAUCUACUUUAAAACCCUUGUACAGGGCACCUGGGUGGCUCAAGUGAUGUAAGCAUCUGCCUUUGGCUCAGAUGAUGAUCCCAGAGUCCUAGCUAGGAUUGAGGCUUGCAUGUUGGGCUCAUUGAAAUCCCUACUCAGAGGGGAUUCUGUUUCUCCCUCUCUCUCUGACCCUCCACCCUACUCAUGCCCUCUCUCCUCUUUUUCUUUCUCUCUCUCUCUCUCUCUCUCUCUCUCUCGAGUAAAUAAAGCUUUAAAAAUAAAAUAAAAUAAAAUCCAUGGACACUUUAUAUCAAAUAUAUCUUGAAAAAGAAAAGCAAAGUUGGAGGUAUCACAAUUCUGGACUUCAAACUAUAUCACAAAGCUGUAGUCAUCAAGACACUAUGGUACUGGUGCAAAACAGACAACACAGAUCAAUGGAACAGAAUAAAAAACUCAGAAGUGGACUCACAACUAUAUGAUCAACUAAUCUUCAACAAAGUAGGAAAGAAUACUCAAUGGAAAAAUGACAGUCUCUUCAACAAA
rnacentral:lncRNA from 1 species